GGAAUAAAAGUCGUAACAAGGUCUCUGUAGGUGAACCUGCGGAGGGAUCAUUACAGAGUUCAUGCCCUACCGGGUAGAUCUCCCACCCUAUGUUAUUAUUACUUUGUUGCUUUGGCGGGCCGUUAGGCUCCGGCCCGACUACCGGCCCCGGCUGGUAAGCGCCCGCCUGAGGACCCAAAACCCUGAAUAUUAGUGUCGUCUGAGUACUAUAUAAUAGUUAAAACUUUCAACAACGGAUCUCUUGGUUCUG
rnacentral:misc_RNA from 1 species